UAGUGAUAACUGGUACUGUGAAGAAAUAAUUGCCCAAAUACAAAAUAUUGAAGCAACUCUUAGGAUAUACUAACCGGUCAUUCCUAUUUUUGGAGUAGAUCACAAAAGCAUCUAGGGAGAGAGGGAAGUCCCACUCCCUUCACCAGAACCAGAGCUGUGAGACCCGGCCCUGCAAAUUUCCAUUCAGGCAUAUUGGCACCUGAUAUCAGGGAUCGAUUCCUGGAGGAGAGACCAGGAGUCUUUUCUUUCCUCCAAAGACAUCCUGCCUCUUUGCUUGGACUACACAACAAUCCACGCAGAAAGUGAAGUACGCAUAUAGAAUCCAGUGGAAGACCUGACUAGAGCUGUUGCAAAAAUCCAGUUUACGCCUGAACACCCCAGGAGAAGAUUUGACUCUCAACUGUGAAGUCAAGGGACCGAUAUAGACCACAACUACCCAGAUAUUUUAGAAAAAGCUCAAAACCUAUGAGUUAUUCUAGAUGUGGACUGAAAGCAAAAUAAUUGAUUAGUUCCAAUUGUUAGCAAAUUGAUCUCUGGUAACAGUUGAAUAUUCGCUUUCAUAUCAGAGGGACGGAAAUCACUUCUUUUCUAGUUCAGAGCAGAACAAAUCUCUGAUUAUUCAGUUCAACUGGAAGUAGUCUCCUCAUCCACCUUGUCAUUCCUAGCCCAACUGUCCCUGUUCCCUAAAGUUUCCCAGGCCCACCCCAAAGGAAAGGGCUCAGGUGAAAAGGAUCACCCUCCCUUCUCUUUCUCUGCUGCUGCCUGUUCUCCUCCUAUUCCUCUGUAGUCCUCUGACAGCAUCCAUGGCACCUCAGGAGACUGGGGAUGGUCAGGUCCACAGCACUGGUAUCCAUUGCUUUGACACUGCAGAGGUGGACUGGGAAGGGGCAAGAGGGGGAAGUGGGAGUGGGAAGGCAGAGUGGCAAGUUUGGGGUCUCGAAUACUGGCAGCAGAGAAAGUGGGGGCUUGGAGGAGGAGAGGACUCGAAGAAGGGAUCUUCAUCUCCCAUUCCUCCUCCUCCACCACCACCACCACCUGAUUUUUUCCUGUAUACCACCAGCCCCCUGACUUUGAUGCCAUGGCAUCGGGAAAUCAAUGGGUUGGCCUGGGACCUUAAGGUCUACUGUGGCAUUGAGUCUGUGGCUGUGGAAGAGGAAAUCCAAUGGCUUUGGAAUGUAGAGGGGGUGGGUCUAGGGUUUGGAAAGUAAAGGACUGCCUAGGAGGGGAGAUGAGGCAACAAUCACAUCCAGGGUGGAGUCAGGGCUGCUUUACCUAGUUCAACUGUAAAAUGUUCAAAGACAUAAUUAUGUAGAUUCCUAGAGCACAAAGUUAGUCCUCUAAUGGGUAACCACUUUUUCUGUAUUUGUAGAUUCACAAUUUCUAAAACAACAAUUGAGAAAUUUAAGAGUCUGAAAAUUGUGAAAAUAGUUCAUUUUAAGAAAGUUUAGGAUUGUUGAAAAUUCCUUCUUGUUCAUUACAAAAAAUGUUAAUGAAUUAGGUAAUAAAGUAGUGUUAAGUGAAAGGUUA